rnacentral:misc_RNA from 1 species
GAUGAAGAACGUAGCGAAAUGCGAUAAGUAAUGUGAAUUGCAGAAUUCAGUGAAUCAUCGAAUCUUUGAACGCACAUUGCGCCCCCUGGUAUUCCGGGGGGCAUGCCUGUUCGAGCGUCAUUUCACCACUCAAGCCUCGCUUGGUAUUGGGCAACGCGGUCCGCCGCGUGCCUCAAAUCGUCCGGCUGGGUCUUCUGUCCCCUAAGCGUUGUGGAAACUAUUCGCUAAAGGGUGUUCGGGAGGCUACGCCGUAAAACAACCCCAUUUCUAAGGUUGACCUUGGAUCAGGUAGGGAUACCCGCUGAACUUAAGCAUAUCAAUAAGCGGAGGA